UUUGCUUCUUGCUGACACACACACGACACCACGUGUCGUGUGUGUGUCAGCAAGAAGCAAAGGAAAGGUGUAGGAGACGAUAGU